GUUAAAGUGAUGCAGUGCCAAAAUCGCAAAAAGUGCUCUGCAUAUGAAAAAAACGAAUUUCCUAAAGAAAGGUUGUGUCUGAUAAAGAUGUUCCAAACCGACGCUGGCGUUUCACCUAAUGAGGCAUCGACAGGGAUAGGAAGCAGUAGCAGACACCACACACGCCCUAUCUUUUGUAGGAGUGACACCGGAAGCUGGGAAAAGCAGGAAGAUACAAGAGAGAGCGGCGACAGAGGAGGUGGAGAUAGAAGAUAAUGGGAGCAAACGACCGGAGACAUCGGCAGAAGAGAGAAACAGAACACAUCAACUGAAGAACCGGAGACAUGCCAUCGGCGGAAAAAGAAAAAAUUGUGACUGACAGAGGAUAUACUUGAGUCUUAUUAAAGGAAUUG